UAGUCCACGCCGUAAACGAUGAUCACUAGAUAUUGGCUUCGGUCAGUGUCCAAGCGAAAGUGUUAAGUGAUCCACCUGGGGAGUACGCCGGCAACGGUGAAACUCAAAGGAAUUGACGGGGGCCCGCACAAGCGGUGGAGCAUGUGGUUUAAUUCGAUGAUACGCGAGGAACCUUACCAGGGCUUAAAUGCAGAACGACCGGUCUGGAAACAGACCUUUCUUCGGACGGACUGCAAGGUGCUGCAUGGUUGUCGUCAGCUCGUGCCGUGAGGUGUCGGGUUAAGUCCCAUAACGAGCGCAACCCCCACCGUUAGUUGCCAGCAUGUUAUGAUGGGGACUCUAGCGGGACUGCCGGUGCAAACCGAGAGGAAGGUGGGGAUGACGUCAAAUCAUCACGGCCCUUACGUCCUGGGCUACACACGUGCUACAAUGGUAACGACAGAGGGCAGCCACCCCGCGAGGGGGAGCGAAUCCUUAAACGUUAUCUCAGUUCGGAUCGGAGUCUGCAACUCGACU
rnacentral:rRNA from 1 species